UCGUAAAAUUCAAUAAUUGUGGCAACUUAUUCGAUGAGACGUACGGUGUUUCCUAUUAAAGGUGAAUUCUAUGCAGUUGACUGCAGUCUUAAAAUUCAGUCUCCAAAAUGAACAGGUGGUUUGUCGUGACUUUCUUACUGACCAUCGGUCUACUAUCCGUUCUUUCUAUGGAUGACAAAGUGAUUGGCGAUAGAGAACUGAUCGAUAUAAGAUGAUGACGAACGUGAGCUCGCCUACAAACUUAUAGAUUGUCUAAGGGAAAACUUAAAAGCUUAUGCAUUUUUACAGUUUAUCCAUGCAUUAUGACUUAUAAAAUGUUUUCUCAAUUCUCAAAAAUAAAAUAUUAAAAACGUAUGACUUUUGAAUGUUGUUAAAACAUCUUGAGCUUAAACGAGAAAAUA